rnacentral:rRNA from 1 species
AGUGAACGCUGGCGGUAGGCCUAACACAUGCCAGUCGAACGGCAGCACAGUAAGAGCUUGCUCUUACGGGUGGCGAGUGGCGGACGGGUGAGGAAUACAUCGGAAUCUACUUUUUCGCGGGGGAUAACGUAGGGAAACUUACGCUAAUACCGCAUACGACCUACGGGUGAAAGCAGGGGAUCUUCGGACCUUGCGCGAUUGAAUGAGCCGAUGUCGGAUUAGCUAGUUGGCGGGGUAAAGGCCCACCAAGGCGACGAUCCGUAGCUGGUCUGAGAGGAUGAUCAGCCACACUGGAACUGAGACACGGUCCAGACUCCUACGGGAGGCAGCAGUGGGGAAUAUUGGACAAUGGGCGCAAGCCUGAUCCAGCCAUACCGCGUGGGUGAAGAAGACCUUCGGGUUGUAAAGCCCUUUUGUUGGGAAAGAAAAGCAGCAGGUUAAUACCCCGCUGUUCUGACGGUACCCAAAGAAUAAGCACCGGCUAACUUCGUG